GCUUGACUGGCUCAAUAGGUAGAGCAUAUGACUCCUGAUCUCAAGGUUGUGAGUUCAAGCCCCAUGUUGGGCA
rnacentral:tRNA from 1 species